AUAAACCUCCUCCUUCCAGACUUAUGUGGAAAGGUAUUGCAUCUACCUCAUCACUCCUCUUGCAUCUGUCCCACCAAGGACAUGUGGCUCUGCAGUCCCUUGGCCUCCUCCUUUUGCCCUGGAGUGGGCUUGGGUGGCAAGAAAGCUGUGUGGCACCUCCAAGCCAUGCCCAUGGGAAUGGAAAGCUGCUAUUCGAUCAUCGUUUGGAGGGAUGCAUCUUACCCAACCAGCUGAAUGUGC
rnacentral:lncRNA from 1 species